CUAGAUUCCGGUGAGUGAACCUUGCGUCACGAGGGGCUGUGUGGGGCCCGAAAAGAGCGCCGAGGCGGUCCGGUGAGAAGUACGCAGGAUACGCAGUCCUGCUGGUUAAAGGGACAAUUAUUUGUUUGUUGGCAAAAGCAUUUUACACCGUUUUCGUUUCCAGUGGGUCGGAGGAAGACGGUUGAUUCCCGAGGGGUAGGAUGGGCCGUUGAUGCGUCGGCUGACUUUCCCACACCAGAUCAGCGUGUUCACCUCUGGAGAACUCAGGGCCCAGAGAAAAUCAGGAAAACCUCAAUCAUGAGAAAGACAUCACACCCAAAUUGAGAGACGUUCUACCACACACCUGACUGGUGGUCUUCACGAGUCUCAAGGUCAUGAAAGACCAAGAAAGACAGGAUUGGAGGAGAGUGAGGAGACACAACAGGACAGUUCAAUACAGUUGGCUCUCCUGGGUCAGCUUCGGGACCAGAGAACGGACGUUAAUGGGAAAACUGGUGGAUUCAGGGCAUCCUUACGGCAAAACACCUCUGAGAUCGCUCAGCCUAAUGCCCUCUGUUAUCCUGACAAAUGCGAAAAAAGUUUCAAACAAACGUGUCUCCCCAUCACGACGCCAUCAGGAGAACUCAGGCUGUGGUGUCGCCGAGAACAUUCCUGAAAGAAGUCAGGACACAGGUUUUCCGAGAUGCAGCGAGGCUCGGUGUUCCUCCCUUCCCGGCGUGGGAUGGUCACCCCCUGACCUCUGCUCUUCCGGGUCACGGGACCACACUUCCCACGGUGGGUCCCAUCCUCGUGGUGUGGGUGGGACCAUCUGGCAGCCCCUGCCCGUAAGCUCUGCCCCGACAGCAAAGCCGCUGGGCGCCCUCCCCGCUCCCCGCUCCCCGCUCCGGGCCUGAUCUAGGACGCGCGGAGCUCUGGGCCAUCUUCCCGCUCAGUGUGCCUCUCCCACGUGCUUCCUGUGAACCCGGACCCCCAGGGCCACCUGCCUGCCUGGCCUCUGCACCCACACGGUGAGCGGGCAUCCCAGAUUUCACGUGUCCAGACCAAACUUCUGAUUUCCCGCGUGCCCCCAGCCCAGCCCACUCCUCCCUCGUGUCCCCAUCUCAGGAAAUGGCGUCGCCAUCCACCGAGCACAGAGCCCGGGACCGUGCCCGUCCGCUCUGUUUAACGCGCGCGCCACGUCCACCUGACGGCACGUCCCGACGUGUCACCUGGCGGUGUGUCCUGACAGCGCUGCCUCCGAGACGUGUCCCAACCCGAGGAGGCUGAGUCUCGUCCCGCCCCCGUCACAUCCUGCCUAGACCUGCAACGGUCCCCCGACGGGGCUCCGCCCGCACCCUCCUGGCCACGGUCACCCAACCACACGGUGCGGGCCGCCCCGCCUUACUGCCUCGCAGGCGCUCGGCCAGGCAGACAAGGAGCGCGAGCAAGAGCAGGGGGUGGGGGUCCCCCGAGGGAGUUCCGAGUCCAGUACGACCUCAGUAGCUGCCACAGCCUGGGCCAGGCGCCUCUCCCACGCGCAAAUCUCGGCCGUGGCGCCUCGUCCUACCGGGCGCCACGCCGUCGGGCACGGGCCCAGAAAGCCGAGGCCCCCUUGGGACGACGAGGCGGAGCUCUCGGGGACGGUCGGCACCGGACGUCUUUAGAAGAGCGCAGACCGGCCUUGCGGCCUCAGAGGGGCUCCCUUCCGCGCUUCCUGCCACAGCACGAGGCCCGUGAGUCACCGGGCACAGGUGAGGGUCACACUGCGGCCUCGUGUCAAACCCUUGUCUUACCAACCUUCAGAGCCAGGAGCCGAAAGUCAACGGUGCCUUGCCUUGGGGUUUGCCGGAACGAACCGCGCUUCGGCGAGGUUUUUGGUGCACACGGCCCAUUUGACUUGUGUGUGUGUGUGUGUGUGUGUGUGUGUACGUGUGCUCACACACACGUCACGCAGAAUGUCCCACAGUGACCGCUCGGGAUCGUACGUUCACUGGCAGUGACCACAUCCACGCUCUCGCGCCACCAUCCCCACCGCCCGCCCCCCAAACGCUUUCAUCGUCCCGUGCGACGAUCACUCUGAGCCGCUAAAUGAUAGCUCCCCGCCCCCACCCGGGCCCCGGCAGCCACCAUGCCCCCCCCAUCCCCGUGAGUGAGCGGCGCUGGCCUGCCUCGUGUACGUGAACUGCGGCUCAUGUCCCCGAGCGCGGUGUCCUCGAGGUUCAUCCGGGCCGCCUCCUGUGUCACAACCUCCUUCCCUUUCAAGGCUACGCGGUAUUUCAUCCCGUGUGUAAACCACACUUUGUGGAUCCCCUGGCUUGUCGGUGCACGGCACCUCGCGUGUGCCUUCUGGCCGUAGCGGGAACCGCUGGUGUGCACGUGGGUGUGCAAGUAUCUGCCGAGUCCCUGCUGGCGUUCUUUCGGACCCACGCCUGUCAGCGGAGCUGCGGGCUCAUGUCCAUCUGAGGCCGUGAAGGACAUACUGGUUGUGAGGGAAGGAGAAAGGGGGGACGGAAACGAGGUCUUGUUACCGAGAGUCGCUGAAGGCAGGCUUUGGUUUCGGGAUUGCUCCCCCUCUGCUCACACACGCCUCGGGGCACACACGUGCUCCCACACAUGCACACACACGCACACCUACACAUCACACACUCAUACACACACACACACAUAUACACGCACGCUCAAUACUCGCACAUACGCACACACGUGCACACGAUGCACCCACACCACACACACACGUGCUUACGCGUCACGCUUACACUCGCUCACAUGCACAUAUACAUACACACGCUCGUGCUCACACAUACAUGCACUUACACAUCACACUGACACA